rnacentral:tRNA from 1 species
GGAGUGGCGCAGUGGUUAGCGUGUUGGGCUCAUAACCCAAAGGUCGGUGGACCGAAACCA